rnacentral:rRNA from 1 species
CUACGGGUCGCAGCAGUGGGGAAUCUUGGACAAUGGGCGCAAGCCUGAUCCAGCCAUGCCGCGUGAGUGAAGAAGGCCUUAGGGUCGUAAAGCUCUUUCGCCAGAGAUGAUAAUGACAGUAUCUGGUAAAGAAACCCCGGCUAACUCCAGUGCCAGCAGCCGCGGUAAUACGGAGGGGGUUAGCGUUGUUCGGAAUUACUGGGCGUAAAGCGCGCGUAGGCGGAGUAGUCAGUCAGAGGUGAAAUCCCAGGGCUCAACCCUGGAACUGCCUUUGAUACUGCUAGUCUUGAGUUCGAGAGAGGUGAGUGGAAUUCCGAGUGUAGAGGUGAAAUUCGUAGAUAUUCGGAGGAACACCAGUGGCGAAGGCGGCUCACUGGCUCGAUACUGACGCUGAGGUGCGAAAGUGUGGGGAGCAAACAGGAUUAGAUACCCUAGUAGUC